UACGUAGGGGGCAAGCGUUGUCCGGAUUUAUUGGGCGUAAAGAGCGUGUAGGCGGCUUUACAGGUCCGUUGUGAAAACUCGAGGCUCAACCUCGAGACGCCGGUGGAAACCGUAAAGCUAGAGUCCGGAAGAGGAGAGUGGAAUUCCUGGUGUAGCGGUGAAAUGCGCAGAUAUCAGGAGGAACACCGGUGGCGAAAGCGGCUUACUGGGUCUCUUCUGACGCUGAGGUGCGAAAGCGUGGGGAGCAAACAGG
rnacentral:rRNA from 1 species